rnacentral:rRNA from 1 species
AUUGAACGCUGGCGGCAUGCUCUACACAUGCAAGUCGAACGCGAAAGGGGGCAACCCUGAGUAGAGUGGCGCACGGGUGAGUAAUGCAUCGGAACGUGUCCUGUAGCGGGGGAUAACCUAGCGAAAGCUAGGCUAAUACCGCAUACGCCCUGAGGGGGAAAGUGGGGGAUCGCAAGACCUCACACUAUAGGAGCGGCCGAUGCCGGAUUAGCUAGUUGGUGGGGUAAAAGCUCACCAAGGCGACGAUCCGUAGCUGGUCUGAGAGGAUGAUCAGCCACACUGGGACUGAGACACGGCCCAGACUCCUACGGGAGGCAGCAGUGGGGAAUUUUGGACAAUGGGGGCAACCCUGAUCCAGCCAUGCCGCGUGAGUGAAGAAGGCCUUCGGGUUGUAAAGCUCUUUCGGCCGGGACGAAAUCGCAUGGGUGAAUAUCCUGUGUGGAUGACGGUACCGGAAUAAGAAGCACCGGCUAACUACGUGCCAGCCGCCGCGGUAA